CGGAGAAUCAACUUCUUCGCUUUGGUUAUCUUGCUUUCUGACUAAAUGUCCAAGGUUCAUAAAGCUAGGUUACCAAAGCUAAGCGGUGAUUGUUCC
rnacentral:pre_miRNA from 1 species